rnacentral:lncRNA from 1 species
UGAAAUUUUUAUAAUAUAUAGAUUCUUCCCAUGUGUGGAUCUUCUAUAUCUCUCUAUCAGUUUACUAAACAUCUUUCAAAUAUUUUGUUAUAUUUAUUCCACAAAAUAGAUAACUUAGGGAGCUAUUAUGAAUAGAAUCUGUCUUUUUUUCUAGAAUCUCACUCUGUCACUUGGGCGAGUCUUGCUCUGUCAUCCAGGCUGGAGUGUAGUGGUGCAAUCUUGGCUCACUGCAAGCUACACCUCCCAGGUUCAAGCAAUUCUCCUGCCUCAGCCUCCCAUGUAGCUGGGACUACAGGUGCAUGCCACUAUGCCCUGCUAAUUUUUGUAUUUUUAGUAGAGACGGGGUUUCACCAUGUUAGCUAGGCUGGUCUCAAACUCCUGGCCUUAAUUUAUCUGCCUGCCUUGGCUGGCUCGGAUUACAGGCCUGAGCCACAGUGCCCAGCCUUAUAGUGAUUUUAAUUUAGUAUAUACUAUGUAUCCAUAUUUAUCCUUGUUUCCUCUCCAUCAUUAUGUUUCUAUAUAGAAAGAACCUGUUUUAACUUUGAAUGUUCAGUAUCAGGUAUUAAUAUAAUUAUUUUAACUUUGAUUUUAUUGCAUUUAUCCUGGUAUAUUUUUAUGUAUUUUUAAUAUUUAAUACUUUGUUCUUGUAAAUAGCAAAUACAUGGGUUGUCUUCAUUUUUUCAUUAGGAAUAUUUCAUCUUUUGGUUUAGAAAUUCAAAGCAUUCAAGUUUAUUAAGGAGCUUACAAAAUAUUGCUUGAGGUUAGGAAGAAAGACAUCCUUUGAAGAUAAAAGGGCAUCUCCAUUUCCGAACUCACUCUCUAAUUUCAUUUUGUCCUGAUCUAGGUUUUAAAGAUAGGAUACAUUCAAAGAUGGGACAAGACCGUGACAUCAUGCUGAGUUUAGUCCUGAAAGUGAUACAAUCAGUCCAAAGCAGACCAGAGUUGGGAGACGGAGACACUUUAACUUUAAAUAUGCAUGGUUUUGCAAAUACAUCUGAGUUUAAAAGGAAGGAAACCAUCCAUCAGUCUGGUUUUGAAGCUGCUCUUGCAAUAUUAUGAUAUAAUUUAUCCAUAAUUAUAUUAAUUGUUCCACAUUAACUCAGUAUUGAACUUCUAAAAGUAAUAUCAAGUGUGUGUUUUGUGGAUUUUAAACAAUUGUAACAUGUCAAGACAGUAAAAUUAAUUUCUGAAGUAUUAAAAAUAUACCCAUAUCUACUGGUUCAAAGUGAAUUUUAAAUAUGUAAAAUACUGCAAU